rnacentral:rRNA from 1 species
AUUGAACGCUGGCGGCAUGCUUUACACAUGCAAGUCGAACGGCAGCGCGGGGGCAACCCUGGCGGCGAGUGGCGAACGGGUGAGUAAUGUAUCGGAACGUAUCCUGUAAUGGGGGAUAACCAGUCGAAAGAUUGGGUAAUACCGCAUACGCACGAGAGUGGAAAGUAGGGGAUCGCAAGACCUUACGUUAUAGGAGCGGCCGAUAUCUGAUUAGCUAGUUGGUGGGGUAAAGGCCUACCAAGGCGACGAUCAGUAGCUGGUCUGAGAGGACGACCAGCCACACUGGGACUGAGACACGGCCCAGACUCCUACGGGAGGCAGCAGUGGGGAAUUUUGGACAAUGGGGGCAACCCUGAUCCAGCCAUGCCGCGUGAGUGAAGAAGGCCUUCGGUUGUAAGACUCUUUCGGUCCGGGAACGGAGAUCGCGCCAGUUAAUAACCUGGUGUGGAGUGACGGUACCGGAAGUAAGAAAGACACCGGACGUAACUAACGUGUCCACGCAGCCGCGGUAACGUGAGU